rnacentral:rRNA from 1 species
UCGGGAAUUUUGGGCAAUGGGCGAAAGCCUGACCCAGCAACGCCGCGUGAAGGAUGAAAUCCCUCGGGAUGUAAACUUCGCAAGAACGGGAAGAAUAAGUAAGAGUUAAUAUCUCUUACGAUGACGGUACUGUUUGUAAGCUCCGGCUAACUCCGUGCCAGCAGCCGCGGUAAUACGGGGGGAGCAAGCGUUGUUCGGAUUUACUGGGCGUAAAGGGCGCGUAGGCGGCCACCGCAAGUCGACUGUGAAAUCUCCGGGCUUAACCCGGAAAGGUCAGCCGAUACUGCGGGGCUAGAGUGCAGAAGGGGCAACUGGAAUUCUCGGUGUAGCGGUGAAAUGCGUAGAUAUCGAGAGGAACACCUGCGGCGAAGGCGGGUUGCUGGGCUGACACUGACGCUGAGGCGCGAAAGCUAGGGGAGCGAACGGGAUUAGAUACCCCGGUAGUCCUAGCCUUAAACGAUGAAUGCUUGGUGUCUGGGGUUUUAUAGUCCCCGGGUGCCGUCGCU